UGUUUGCUUGGAAGCAUUCACUGAAUGG
rnacentral:sRNA from 1 species